UACAGAGGUCUCAAGCGUUGUUCGGAUUCAUUGGGCGUAAAGGGUGCGUAGGUGGCACGAUCAGCGUGCGGUGAAAGCUCGGGGCUCAACCCCGGGUCGGCCGUGCGAACUAUCGAGCUGGAGCACUGUAGAGGCAGGCGGAAUUCCGGGUGUAGCGGUGGAAUGCGUAGAGAUCGGGAGGAACACCAGGGGCGAAGGCGGCUCACUGGACAGGUACUGACACUCAACUACGAAAGCGUGGGGAGCAAACAGG
rnacentral:rRNA from 1 species